rnacentral:lncRNA from 1 species
UCGGCAAGUGAAUAGAGAUCAGGGUAUGAUGUAGGACUCGGGAGAAAAAGUAUUCGAGAAAGAGUUCGGUACCUUAUUAACCCUUUCAAGAGAAUAGCUUUGUUAGUUAGAUGGGGACAAAGAUACCUGGGCAACCUAUAUAGCUACAAAUUUGAAGUGGAACCACCAUAGAUGACCCUCUACUCCUUGGAUUUUUACCAGAAACAAGACCAACCCAUCUGGCUUUUGAUCCUUAACUAUGCAUUCCUUCUACUUCUCCACACUUGAUUGAUUAAGUGUUGCUUUCUUUGUUUUUUUUCUUUUUUUUUUUCUGUUGAAG